CCGGAUGAUCAUCGGAGUCUGCCAAAGGAGCUAGCUUAGCUCGCCCAGCCCCGUUCGGCUAGCUAGUGUGCACGGGUGGUGUUGGUGUCUGCGUGAUCGAUGGCCGUGUCGUUGGUGCCGCGCCGCCGCCCCGGCCUCCUGGCGGUGGCGCAGCUCGCCGUGGCGCUCUGGCUGGUGGCCUUCACCGGCUGCCUCUGCCAGCCGUCCUACCCCACCUAUCCGCAGCCGGUGCCAACCUACCCCACGCAGCCGCAGCCGGUGCCGUCCUACCCCACCCUUCCCCGUCCGCUGUGGCAACGCCGCCCUAUCACGCCGUGCGUUGGUCGCCGCCGCCGGUGCUUGCCGCCAUGAUUCUUGCUGCGCCAUCGACGUCAAGCAGAGGCUAUACAUGUAUUUGAAUGUGCGAUCGAGUAGUUAAAAGGUUAAAUAAGGAUGUAUCACGAAAUCGACGCAUAAUGUAGUUUUUGAAGGCACGCAUGUACUUUUCAAUUCUCAGAACCAAUACAUAAAAAUAUAAUUUGAAAGCGACUCGAGACUGAAGGGUUGAUCUGAAAGCAAUUCCAUUA